UACGUAGGUGGCAAGCGUUGUCCGGAUUUACUGGGCGUAAAGAGCGCGCAGGCGGUCGGCCAAGUCGAGUGUGAAAGCCCCCGGCUCAACUGGGGAGGGUCAUUCGAUACUGGUCGACUCGAAGGCAGGAGAGGGAAGCGGAAUUCCCGGUGUAGUGGUGAAAUGCGCAGAUAUCAGGAGGAACACCGGUGGCGAAGGCGGGUCUCUGGGCCGAUAUUUGACGCUGAGGAGCGAAAGCGUGGGGAGCGAACAG
rnacentral:rRNA from 1 species